UACGUAGGGGGCUAGCGUUGUCCGGAAUCAUUGGGCGUAAAGCGCGCGUAGGCGGCCCAGUAAGUCCGUUGUAAAAGUCAAAGGCUCAACCUUUGAAAGCCGAUGGAUACUGUGAAGCUAGAGUACGGAAGAGGCGAGUGGAAUUCCUGGUGUAGCGGUGGAAUGCGCAGAUAUCAGGAGGAACACCAAUAGCGAAGGCAGCUCGCUGGGACGUUACUGACACUGAGGCGCGAAAGCGUGGGGAGCGAACAGG
rnacentral:rRNA from 1 species